GACGAACGCUGGCGGCGUGCUUAACACAUGCCAGUCGAACGGAAAGGCCCUGCUUUUGUGCGGUGCUCGAGUUGCGACCGGGUGAGUAACACGUGAGUAACCUGCCCUUGACUUUGGGAUAACUUCAGGCAACUGGGGCUAUUACCGGCUAGGAGCUCCUGCUGCAUGGUGGGGGUUGGAAAGUUUCGGCGGUUGGGGAUGGACUCGCGGCUUAUCAGCUCGUUGCGGGGGUAGUGGCUUACCAUGGCUUUGACGGGUAGCCGGGCUGCGAGGCGCGCCGGACACGUUGGGACGGGGAUGCGGCACAGACUCGUACGGGAGGCAGCGGAGGAGAAUAGUGCACAAUGGGCGGAGGCAUGAUGCAGCAACGCAGCGUGCGGGAUGAGGGCAAUCGGGUUGUAAACCGCUGUCGCCUGUGACGAAGCGUGAGUGACGGUAAUGGGUAAAGAAGCACCGGCUAACUACGUG
rnacentral:rRNA from 1 species